rnacentral:rRNA from 1 species
UUCAAGUACUGGUUCUCGUUAGAUCACCGAAGUUAAGCAUCAUUGGGCACGGUACAUCAGUACUUGGGUGGGUGACCAUCUGGGAACACCGCGUGCCGUU